UAUUCACUGAGAAAUGGAUAAAAAUGUUCAUUUUCUAAAUGAGGAGCGCUCAUUUAUGUUGUUCACUGUAUACCUGUUACAGUACAAACUAUCCUCGCGCGACCCCCCGGCGCUCCAGUUGCCAUGGGUAACGUACGCCAGUCUAUAAAGCGUUGUGCAACUCAAGACGCUCUCUCGUAGCCACUCCCUGUAAACAAACCAGCAAGCCUCGAACAAAGAGAAACGAAUAAUAAAAAACCAGUUCGUCACGGGUUGUAAAUUUAACAGAAAGGAAUCUGCGCUAUUCCAGAAAAACCAACGAGUUCGGUUUGUCGUGUUCGUGUCAACUGCUUGAUGGUUUCUGGGAACCCACGCGCGGAAUGAAGGCAACAUAUUUCUGCAUCUUGGAUAACACCCAAACCCUGCAUCGUUUAAAUGAGAAGAGAACUGCAGUAAAUUGCUGGCCCGAUAUCAGAAGGAAAUGGACGUUUUUACCAGGACAACACUGCUACAGACGAGGGUGUGCUACAGAGGACUGCAUCAUUUUAUCGCUCACCGGGUUACAUAGACUGAAGCAGGCAAGCGUCAUCAUGGUGUUUACCUGGUGCCAUGAGCUAAAGCCUAGGAGGACACUUAAGCAUGUCACUCCUAAAGAGAUUGUGAUUUUGUUUGAUGCCUAAUCUGCUUUUAAUUGUUUAAACUAAACUGAACUGAAGGAUAUUGAAGUGAUGUUUACACCAUAUCUGCAUUUGAAAUCGUGGCAACAGCCAAUUUGUAGUCCCCUGAUUAAUAAAGGGACUAAGCCGAAAAGAAAAUGAAUGAAUGAAUAACAGCUUGAGAUAUAUGCAAUGUAAGAUUGUAAAUUCACUGGUGUUUUACAUUUAUAGAAAGCAUUAUAGGACCUUGACCUCUGACGUUUAAAUGUCAAAUAAAGUGGCAUUUUUUGGUACACUGUAAAUAUAUUUGUUAAUUAACAA